rnacentral:rRNA from 1 species
UACGAAGGUCCCAAGCGUUAUCCGGAUUUAUUGGGUUUAAAGGGUGCGUAGGCGGGUUAUUAAGUCAGUGGUGAAAGCCUACAGCUUAACUGUAGAAUUGCCAUUGAUACUGAUGAUCUUGAGUAUGAUUGAGGUGGGCGGAAUGUGUCAUGUAGCGGUGAAAUGCUUAGGUAUGACACAGAACACCGAUUGCGAAGGCAGCUCACUAAGCCAUAACUGACGCUGAUGCACGAAAGCGUGGGGAGCAAACAGG